rnacentral:rRNA from 1 species
GCCUAUGAUCAUACCACCCUGAACGUGCCUGAUUGUCUGAUCUUGGAAGCUAAGCAGGGUUGGGCCUGGUUAGUACUUGGAUGGGAGAUUCCCAGGGACUCAACAUGCCACCUGAAGAG